AUCAGGAUCUUUCAUUAAGCUCAAUUAAAAUCAUUGAAGGAGAGACCUUCACUGGACUAAUUUUACAAAGAGAAAUAAUUCUAGAAAAAAAAUAUUAUAGAGAGAGAACUAUUCUUAGAGAGAGAAAGUGGAGAGAGAGAGAUAACCCCAAGGAGAAAAAGAGAGAGGGGAGAGGGAAGAGGGAAGAGAGAGAAACUCUUUCUCCCUCCC
rnacentral:lncRNA from 1 species